rnacentral:rRNA from 1 species
UACGGGGGGGGGCAAGCGUUGUUCGGAUUCAUUGGGCGUAAAGGGUGCGUAGGUGGCGUCGUAAGUGGGAUGUGAAAUCCCGGGGCUUAACCCCGGGACUGCAUUCCAUACUGCGGUGCUUGAGGACUGGAGAGGAGACUGGAAUUUACGGUGUAGCAGUGAAAUGCGUAGAGAUCGUAAGGAAGACCAGUGGCGAAGGCGGGUCUCUGGACAGUUCCUGACACUGAGGCACGAAGGCCAGGGGAGCAAACGGG